GCCGGAAGUUAGAGGUUUGUGGAAAAAUGAUCCUUAUGCACGUUGAAAUCGAUAACGAACUGAGCUCCAUAGCGGCAGUGCAUCACAGUAGAAGAUCUAUUUGUGAUUGCUGAUCACAACCGCAAGUAGUGAUGUCAAGGUGAUGCCAUAUCAACGUCACACGUACAACGCAAGCCUCAACCAAGUAGCACAACUUGUGGAUCAGACAAAACUUUUAUGAAUGUAAAGGAAAUAAUGCCUCCAAGAACUACAAAUUUUCUCCAUACCUCAAACGAAAACCUUUUAAAAGUGUAAUGGCGGUUGAACUUGUUCAUCAUUGCUAGUAGCGGAAACAAAGGCGGCUGCGGCGGAAUUUGGCUUCGUGCUCGACAAUCUUGGCAAGAACAUCUUGAAGUUGGCCCUCGUAGUGGGCAAUCUUCACCGCCAACAACUCAAUGAAAUGUGGACAACCACCAACAGGAUCUUGAGCACGGGCAUUAGCAGAGUAGAUAAGAGAGGUCAUGGCGUUUGACGAGCUUCCGGAGGGACAAUUUCUAAAAUUUUACGAUAUUGUUAACGAAGAAAAGCUUGAGCACAAUAAAAAGUUUUUUGGGAUGUUGUCGGGAGAGUGCAAAAAUGCAGGCUGUGAGGCAUUUUCAUCUUUGGGAUCUGCAUGCUAUGCACGCGACUCUUUCCGUUGUAGAAGUAAUGGUUGAUUUUAGAUUGUAAUUAUUCAUAAUUUUAUAAAAUCAGCGGAAGAGGGGGUUAGAGAGAUAUUAGCAGCAAACAGGGGCGACGCUACAUGAGCACGUGCGACACAGACUCAUUGCAUAAUGACAUUUCUUAUAUUUGGUGUAUGACUCAUAUAUCAUAUAUGCAUAGUAUUGUUAUAGAAGUAUGAUGAUAUGAAAUCGAAUAUUAAAUUGAUCGAAAUAUCAUUUCUAAUUAUCUA